GAUAAACGCUGGCGGCGUGCCUAACACAUGCAAGUCGAACGUCCUCUUGUUUUUCGGAACGAGAGGGAGUGGCGGACGGGUGAGUAACACAUGGGUGACCUGGCCUGAAGUGAGGGAUACCGGCGAGAAAUCGCCGACAAGCCCGCAUAGGUUCUUUUUCGUGGGCGGAAGAGAGCAAAGUUCUUUUUCGGAAGGGCGCUUUGGGAUGGGCCUGUGGCCGAUUAGCUGGUUGGUGGGGUAAGAGCCUACCAAGGCGACGAUCGGUAGCUG
rnacentral:rRNA from 1 species